rnacentral:lncRNA from 10 species
UAAACUUGAGUUUGUAAGAGAGCCUUCGUAGGAGGAUAAUAGUGCUCUGUAGGCAGGCUGGUGGCUAUCAUUCAGUUUCUUAUCAUAUACAAGCCCCUGAGUGGGUGUCUGGGACCUAGAGAAAGAGUGGUCUAAUUGAAUCCAAGAGGAAGAGAAGCAUCCUUCCUUCAGUGCCUUUGUGGUGGUGCUUGGUGAGAGAUAGUGGUGAAGGCAUUGCCUAAAGAGAGAGGCACUAACAGGCAGAGGAGUGGUUGAGACCAGUAAGAACUGCCCUGCCUGGUGGAGCAGAGGCAGAAGCUGAUGCCCAGGCUCUGCAGCAUCUAUAGGGAACUUGGUGCCUGCAGUGCUCAUCAAAUGAUCCAGAGGCCUCCUUGAACACUGCAAAACCCAGAAGAAAUUACCAUGCCAACGGAGCAGAACCAGAUCCUUUGGGGAAACACAGCGCUGGUGGAAGAACUAUAGCUCCAGUAAGCAAAUGUGGUGCCUGGUGGGUGGUUGCUGAAUCAGUGUGUGUUUGUGAGCAUAUGUGAGACACCCACUGAAGAUGCCUAAAAACACCUCUAGAAACUGACAUUUUAAAAGGAGACUGAAGUCCUGCAUUAUGCAGGUGCUGUGAGCCUGUGACUAUUGGGUUAUUCCACUUAAUGUGACUUACUUGUAUCUACAAGCUAGUGGAAGCUGGGUGCCAUAGUUCAGAUAUUUUUCCCCCAAAACCUCAUGUUGAAAUUUGAUCCCCAGUGUUGGAGAUGGGGCCUAAUGGAAAAUAUCUGAGUCAUGGAGGUGGAUGCUUUAUGAAUGGAUUAACCUCCUCACUGUGGGGGUGGUGAGUUCUUACUCUCUUAGUUCCCAUGAAAGCUGGUUGUUAAAAAGAGCCUUGCAGGGCGCGGUGGCUCAUGCCUGUAAUCCCAGCACUUUGGGAGGCUGAGGUGGGUGGAUCACCUGAGGUCAGGAGUUCAAGACCAGCCUGGCCAAUGUGGUGAAACCCCG